UACGUAGGGUGCAAGCGUUGUCCGGAAUUAUUGGGCGUAAAGAGCUCGUAGGCGGUCUGUCGCGUCGGAUGUGAAAAUCAGGGCUCAACCCUGGACCUGCAUUCGAUACGGGCAGACUAGAGUUCGGCAGGGGAGACUGGAAUUCCUGGUGUAGCGGUGAAAUGCGCAGAUAUCAGGAGGAACACCGGUGGCGAAGGCGGGUCUCUGGGCCGAUACUGACGCUGAGGAGCGAAAGCGUGGGGAGCGAACAGG
rnacentral:rRNA from 1 species